UCCCCCUGGCGAUGGGCAAAGAGACACCUCCUUGGUGGUAUUCUUAUAUGAGUCAGGGGCAGAGUAGAUAAGUCCUUUGUUCAUCCUAGCUUGAUGCCUGGUUGGUGGCCAUAGCUGUUUCAUACCUAAGACACACAC
rnacentral:snoRNA from 1 species